CGCAGCCGCGGUAAUUCCAGCUCCAAUAGCGUAUAUUAAAGUUGUUGCAGUUAAAAAGCUCGUAGUUGAAUUUCGGGAUCAAUACGUCGGUCGUGCUUCGGUACGUACUGGCGUAAUUGAUUUCUCCCUUCUGACGAACCAUGAUGUCAUUAACUUGGUGUCAUGGGAAAUCAGGACUGUUACUUUGAAAAAUUAGAGUGUUUAAAGCAGGCUCACGCUUGAAUACAUUAGCAUGGAAUAAUGAAAUAGGACGUUCGAUCCUAUUUUGUUGGUUUUUAGGAUCAACGUAAUGAUUAAUAGGGAUAGUUGGGGGCAUUAGUAUUCAAUUGUCAGAGGUGAAAUUCUUGGAUUUAUUGAAGACUAACUACUGCGAAAGCAUUUGCCAAGGAUGUUUUCAUUAAUCAAGAACGAAAGUUAGGGGAUCGAAGACGAUCAGAUACCGUCGUAGUCUUAACCAUAAACUAUGCCGACUAGGGAUCGGAUGAUGUUAAUUUUUAAUGACUCAUUC
rnacentral:rRNA from 1 species